rnacentral:misc_RNA from 1 species
GGGGGGUUGAGGCUCUUCCAUUAGUUCUU